UCCAUGGCGACAUGGAAUCUGAAGGAAGCUCGAGGCAAACCUCUGGUCUGACGAACAGAAAUCAUAUAAGAGGCAACGUAUGAAGAUAAGGCUGCAAAAGAAGUUGAAGUCCGAUAGCUAUACUUAUCAUACCCAUUCACAAACUCUGUUUUAAAUGAUUUAAAC
rnacentral:ncRNA from 1 species